rnacentral:rRNA from 1 species
AUACGGAGGGAGCUAGCGUUGUUCGGAAUUACUGGGCGUAAAGCGCACGUAGGCGGCUUUGUAAGUCAGAGGGGAAAGCCUGGAGCUCAACUCCAGAACUGCCUUUGAGACUGCAUCGCUUGAAUCCAGGAGAGGUCAGUGGAAUUCCGAGUGUAGAGGUGAAAUUCGUAGAUAUUCGGAAGAACACCAGUGGCGAAGGCGGCUGACUGGACUGGUAUUGACGCUGAGGUGCGAAAGCGUGGGGAGCAAACAGGAUUAGAAACCCUAGUAGUCC